rnacentral:lncRNA from 1 species
AAGUUCAUCACUUUUUUUUCUUCUAAAUCAUUCUUGAGAUUUCUAUUUUUUUCCGGUUGUUAGCAAUUGAAGAUUAUUGAAAGUUCUUGGUUCCACGGCUGUUUGACAUCCGCUUCUCUGUGCUUUCUCUGAUUAGACUGACUCUGGGUCUGUGAAUUAGAUUGUUCUCUCCUCAGUUAGGCAGUUGCAUCUUUGCGCUUAUGAUCUUAAAAAUGUCGAUUGAGACUAUCGAUCCUUUCUUUAUCAAAGCGUCGGUCUGUUCUUACGCCGAAUUUGGUCUUUUUUCAUCACGGUUGCUCUUCGUUGAGCUUUCUCCGGUGAUGGUGGUGAUGUCGCGACUCGGCGCGUAUCUCUUCUUCGUUACACGACUUAUACGUGGGACAGCUCUCGAGAUUGAUCAUUAUCUUCUUUUGGAGUUUCUUUUGUUUGGGCCUCUAUGGGAUACUUUGUAACUUUUAGAUUUUGUCCUAUAUGAGCUUUUGUAUGUACUGUUUUGGUUUAAUAAUAAAAAAAUAUAUAUAUAUAGAAAGAAAAAGAG